UACGGAGGAUGCGAGCGUUAUCCGGAUUUAUUGGGUUUAAAGGGUGCGCAGGCGGAUUUUUAAGUCAGCGGUCAAAUCGUGGGGCUCAACCCCAUCCAGCCGUUGAAACUGGGGAUCUAGAGUGUGCGAGAGGUAUGCGGAAUGCGUGGUGUAGUGGUGAAAUGCAUAGAUAUCACGCAGAACCCCGAUUGCGAAGGCAGCAUACCGGUGCACAACUGACGCUCAGGCACGAAAGCGUGGGUAUCGAACAGG
rnacentral:rRNA from 1 species